UCCAAGCAAUUUCAGCGUCCUUUGCAGCUAAUUUGGACCAAGAUGUAUGUCAGUUAAACUUUAUAAUCUUGGUUAUCGUCAGUUUAUUGAAGGCCGACGUUUGUUUCUUCGAGGUUACCGUCAGAAUAGCGUAGGUUUAGUUCAAUCUCGAAGAUUAAUGGAUAUGAUUUCGUGACGAAAGUACUCGAGGACAGCUACAAGCUCAGGACAAAGAUUAAGAUAUGCAGAGGACGGCGUCGAGCAAAAGAGGAAGCUUUUAGAGUCAAGAAGUUCAAAGGAGGGAGGAAACAGGAUACCUUUUAACAAGAAUGACUGGCUAGUAUCUCUGGUGCUUAAAGCACAAGUCAAACAAGUAGAAGACACGAUUUCUUCAGAGGUACAAAAUUGAUGCAGCACUUUACUCAAGCAUCCGGUUAGUCAAGCCAAGAAAGAUUUGUCAAA